ACUACUCCUUGCUUGUGUACUUUUGAGAUUUUUGAUCGAUACAGACAGCAUACCAAGUACCCUUGUGGUGGUGUAAAGUGACAGAGAAGGAGAAACUAUAUGGACCCAUUGUAACUUCGUCCUUGUAUUGUUAGAAAUUAUUAUCUUUGUUUCUCUUGUUCCAUAUCCAAUCCCAUGUUUGUUUAUAAUCUUGAUCCUUUGUUGAUUAGAUUAUCCGUCUUCGAGGCAAUGAGCUUUUCCUUACUGCACCAAUAAAACUUACAUCAGAAGCGAUAAGACAAGAAAUGGAGAUUGGAUACAUAUCAUAAUCCUGAUUUUCUCAUAGCUAUGGCUGCUUGUCGGUAUGAUUAGACCAUGGUACAAACAUUCAGGGGAGUGUUAGAGAGUUAAGAACUAAAACGAGCGCACCUGUCAAGAAUAUUUAAUUUCAGCAACAUCUCCAAACACAUCGAGUCAUAUAAUAGGGUUCUUAAGAGCAUAGAUCACACCAUCGAACAUUUUGAUUCAUAUAGCCUGUGUUCACUGCCAAUCUAACACCAUACAAAACAACCAUUUUCAGAGGAACAACCGUCUUCGCCACUUUUCUGCCAUCCAACAUAAACUCACCUUAAUGACAGCAUUAUACUGAACGCCGUCUACAAGCCCAGAGAAGAGAUCUCCACCGCCCGUCAGCACUCCUAGAAACAGUUGUGGCAUAAGUGUGUUUUCGAAUAAGAAUUCGUGUAACCAUGUUACAGAUUUAUACGUGCAUAUAUCGGA